rnacentral:rRNA from 1 species
UGCCAGCAGCCGCGGUAACACGGGGGGCGCAAGCGUUAUUCGGAAUUAUUGGGCGUAAAGGGCGCGCAGGCGGUCUUGUCAGUCAGGUGUGAAAGCCCGGGGCUCAACCCCGGAUGGUCACUUGAAACAGCAAGACUUGAGUACGGGAGAGGAGAGAGGAAUUCCUGGUGUAGAGGUGGAAUGCGUAGAUAUCGGGAAGAACAUCGGUGGCGAAGGCGACUUGCUGGGCCGGAUGCUGACGCUGAGACGCGAAAGCGUGGGGAGCAAACAGGAUUAGAUA